rnacentral:rRNA from 1 species
UGAGCCAAGUUUAGGGUUUUCUCAAAACCCAAGCAGUAUUGAACUGAAGAGUUUGAUCAUGGCUCAGAUUGAACGCUGGCGGCAGGCCUAACACAUGCAAGUCGAGCGGAUGAAGGGAGCUUGCUCCUGGAUUCAGCGGCGGACGGGUGAGUAAUGCCUAGGAAUCUGCCUGGUAGUGGGGGAUAACGUCC